CCAAGGAGUCUAACAUGUGCGCGAGUCAUUGGGACUUGUUCAGGCCCAAAGGCGCAAUGAAAGUGAAGGCCGGCCUCGGAGCCGUUGCCGAGUUGGGAUCCCGUGCCUACCCGUUACAGGUGCGCGGGAGCACCAACGACCCGUCCCGUCCGCAGCGUCGGUGGGGCGGAGUGUGAGCGUACACGUUGGGACCCGAAAGAUGGUGAACUAUGCCUGGGCAGGACGAAGCCAGAGGAAACUCUGGUGGAGGUCCGUAGCGAUUCUGACGUGCAAAUCGAUCGUCAGACCCGGGUAUAGGGGCGAAAGACUAAUCGAACCAUCUAGUAGCUGGUUCCCUCCGAAGUUUCCCUCAGGAUAGCUGGCGCUCGAACGGGAAUCAGUCUCAUCCGGUAAAGCGAAUGAUUAGAGGCCUUGGGGCCGAAACGACCUCAACCUAUUCUCAAACUUUAAAUGGGUGAGAUGUCCGGCUUGCACGAGUGAAGCUCGGACGAUGCAGGAUGAGAGUGCCCAGUGGGCCACUUUU
rnacentral:rRNA from 1 species